GGGCGCCACCGCCUCCCGCCGGGCCGCGGGGCCAGCGUCGCGGCCGCUCCGUUCCCUUCCCGCCGCGCUCUGCGGAGCGGUGCUAUGAGCAUAUCGAGGAAACGGAGCUUAACUGGCUGCAGUACCUUGAACCACGGCUACUCAACUAGAAUGAGUAACAUUGUAAUGGAACAGACAUAAGGGUACCAAAAGUAUUUUUGAAUGAGCACCUUGUUUCCAAAAGUGACUAUUAGCAGGUACCAAGGAAACAAGUGAGAAUUCCACAAGCUUAUAACCACAAAGAUGAUAAGAGGGAUGGAACAGGUAUCCUAUGAAGAUAAACUGAGAGAGUUGGGGCUGUUCAGCCUGGAGGAGGCUCCAGGGAGACCUUACAGCACCUUCCAGUACCUAAAGAGGACUUACAAAAAAAGGGGAGAGCGACUCCUUACUUGUACAGAUAGUGAUAGGACAAGGGGGGAACAUUUAUGAACUCAGAGAAGAGAGAUUUAGAUAGGUGUUUGGAAGAAAUUCUUUACUUAUAGGGUAGAGAGGUUCUGGAACAGUUUGCUCAGAGAAGCUGUGGAUGCCCAGUCCCUGGAAGUGUUCAAGGCCAGGUUGGAUGGGGCUCUGAGCAACCUGAUCGAAGUGAAAGGUGUCUCUGCUUUGACAGAGGGGUUGAAACUGGAUUAUCCUUAAGGUCCCUUCCAACACAAGCCUUUCUAUGAAUUUCUGUGAAUAUUUUCCCAGAUGUUUUUCCAGCUUCCAACCAGAUGGCAUCCUUUUUGCCUCACACCCCCCCUGCCACCCCCAGAUUUUUGUACCCAUCCUCAUAAGAUUGCUGUACCAUUCUCUGUGAACCCACAUCAAUCCCAGGCUUUGCCAAGGAGUACUGCAGGUCUAGUGCCAUCUUUAGGAAGAACCCUCUUGGCAUAUGUUGAACUCAAGGCCUGUGAGCUCCAAUUAUGGGCACCUUUGCUCUUGUACAAGGAGAUUGAGUGAACUGCCAGUGCCAGCAUAUUGUCUGUCCUGAUCCUGACUGUAUUCCACACAAUCCUCUAAACAGGCUGUUCAGGGCAGAGCCUUUUCAGGUCUCUCAGACCACUGUGUUACCUGCUGAGGCACCUUGCUGGUCUUUGGGAGGAAGGCAAUACUGAACACUCACAGCUUUUCUGGACUGGAGGCUGCAGGUCUGCCUGUGGUGAGCGGCCUCACAUAAGUGUUUGUAUUGUUUCCUCUUCUGUCUGCCAGGGAUGACUUUAAAAGAUUUUUCUCAUAAGUAAUAAGAUCAUUUAAAAUUAUUGCUUUUACAUAAUACUCGAUGUCUGUCUACACCUUACUUAAUUUUAGAGCAUAUCAGAUAUAAAGCCCUACCAGUGGCAAAUGUUUCCUUUUUCUUUUAAUAGGUACUUUCCAUGGAAUUUGUCAUUUAACAAUCUAAACUUUUUGAUCAAAUAAGAAACCUAUUUUAUGGGCUUGUUAAUUUAAGACUACCUAGGAUGAAAUUCAGGAUACCAUCCAAUAACCUUUGUAAAUGUUUGCUUUGUAUGUUUCUCAGAAAGCUUCACAAGCCAAUUAUUUCAGCUUCCAUAAUGAGCUGGUUUUGAUGUCUUGCUGUUCAACACACAUCGAGUUAAGAGUUGUCAUUAACUCUGUUGUCUUCUUUGUUCUGUAUGGUUCCAAGCACUUUGACAGAGUUCAAAUCAAUACUAAGUAACAAUGGAUGUUUUUUAGGCUUAAUUCCAGGUUUAGCUAUCAUGGAUGAAACUGCCAACAGAUCAGAAGAAUGCAUGAGCCUUUUCUUUCCCAUUGGUUUCAGAAGGCUUAGUGUCUGUGCUAGCCAGACUGGCUUUUAGCAUUUAGUCCCAAAACCUCAAUGUCCUGCUAUAAAAUGUUAUUUUCUGAUGGUGGGAAAAGCCACAGUUAUUAAAUGCCUGAAAUAAACAGCUAACAUCAUUCCUGCUUGAGAUUUAAUCCAAAAGAAUACAUCCAGUGGAAAGGUGGAAAGUGUUCUUCAAACACUGAAGUACAAAAAGAACCAAAUUUAAAAUAAAAUCAAAACUAAUCCUGGUGGAUACAAACCAUAAAUUAUUCAUGGUAAAAACACCAGCAUUCUCAGAAUCAAUUGGUCUGUGGCUGUAAGCAUACCUGCACUUUAUGUCACCUAUACCUGUACCCUUGCUCCUGCUCUGGGACAUGUGCAAAGACACAACAGUCAGCUAACAGAAAGGCAGAAUAGCAGCAAAAGAUUUUAUGCCAUCAGGAGACCUUGGCUUCCACCUGGAGUAGAAGAUGCCUUUGGAGGCUGCAAGCAGUUGGAGCCAAGGUACACAUGAUCAGUGCCAGGCCUGGGCCUGCUCUACUCCUGUUACUUCAGCCCUUGCUGAAUAGCCAGGAGGAAAUGUGAUCUGCAGAGCAGUGCAGCUCUUAGUCACAAUCCCACUGCAGCAUGUCUGUUUACCAUGAGCUUCAAGUAAACUGUUGUUUCAAGGGGACACACAUGUAUUUAAUAUUGUCAGGUCAUGUUCUCAUGUUUUUCUUAAGAUUCAUCAAGGCUAAAACUUCCUUUAAAUAAAAAAAACUGAAACUCAAAGGUAAAGGAGUGACUUCUGAACACCUUAGAACAGAUCUCUAUGUUUUCUGUUCCUUUAUCUGAGCAUGUAAGAAGGCAACAUCUCCUCUCCAUCCUUGAUCAAGAAGGAAGUCUGUUAGAAGUACAGCUGUGUGUGCUAUCCACCAGCAGUGCUGGCAACUUUUCUGUGGUGAGCAGGGAGAAUCUUUGGGGAUUUUGGCUCACCUGGCUUCUGUAUUUUCCAGUUUUCAGUCCCAGGAAUACCUGUAAGAUUUGCCCCCAGAGGUAAGAUCCCAGAGCAUGUUUUGUAUCAUACAUGAAUAAAGCUAAAAACCAAUUUUCCAUUUCCAUGUAUUAUUAGGAGACACAUGCUUUGUAAUUUUUUACAGUUUCCCCCCUAUUGCUAAAGGUGCUGUAUUUUAUCUUCUAAAAAAUUCAACCACACCA